rnacentral:rRNA from 1 species
UUAAGCGACUAAGCGUACACGGUGGAUGCCCUGGCAGUCAGAGGCGAUGAAGGACGUGCUAAUCUGCGAUAAGCGUCGGUAAGGUGAUAUGAACCGUUAUAACCGGCGAUUUCCGAAUGGGGAAACCCAGUGUGAUUCGUCACACUAUCAUUAACUGAAUCCAUAGGUUAAUGAGGCGAACCGGGGGAACUGAAACAUCUAAGUACCCCGAGGAAAAGAAAUCAACCGAGAUUCCCCCAGUAGCGGCGAGCGAACGGGGAGGAGCCCAGAGCCUGAAUCAGUGUGUGUGUUAGUGGAAGCGUCUGGAAAGGCGCGCGAUACAGGGUGACAGCCCCGUACACAAAAAUGCACAUGCUGUGAGCUCGAUGAGUAGGGCGGGACACGUGGUAUCCUGUCUGAAUAUGGGGGGACCAUCCUCCAAGGCUAAAUACUCCUGACUGACCGAUAGUGAACCAGUACCGUGAGGGAAAGGCGAAAAGAACCCCGGCGAGGGGAGUGAAAAAGAACCUGAAACCGUGUACGUACAAGCAGUGGGAGCACGCUUAGGCGUGUGACUGCGUACCUUUUGUAUAAUGGGUCAGCGACUUAUAUUCUGUAGCAAGGUUAACCGAAUAGGGGAGCCGAAGGGAAACCGAGUCUUAACUGGGCGUUAAGUUGCAGGGUAUAGACCCGAAACCCGGUGAUCUAGCCAUGGGCAGGUUGAAGGUUGGGUAACACUAACUGGAGGACCGAACCGACUAAUGUUGAAAAAUUAGCGGAUGACUUGUGGCUGGGGGUGAAAGGCCAAUCAAACCGGGAGAUAGCUGGUUCUCCCCGAAAGCUAUUUAGGUAGCGCCUCGUGAAUUCAUCUCCGGGGGUAGAGCACUGUUUCGGCAAGGGGGUCAUCCCGACUUACCAACCCGAUGCAAACUGCGAAUACCGGAGAAUGUUAUCACGGGAGACACACGGCGGGUGCUAACGUCCGUCGUGAAGAGGGAAACAACCCAGACCGCCAGCUAAGGUCCCAAAGUCAUGGUUAAGUGGGAAACGAUGUGGGAAGGCCCAGACAGCCAGGAUGUUGGCUUAGAAGCAGCCAUCAUUUAAAGAAAGCGUAAUAGCUCACUGGUCGAGUCGGCCUGCGCGGAAGAUGUAACGGGGCUAAACCAUGCACCGAAGCUGCGGCAGCGACGCUUAUGCGUUGUUGGGUAGGGGAGCGUUCUGUAAGCCUGCGAAGGUGUGCUGUGAGGCAUGCUGGAGGUAUCAGAAGUGCGAAUGCUGACAUAAGUAACGAUAAAGCGGGUGAAAAGCCCGCUCGCCGGAAGACCAAGGGUUCCUGUCCAACGUUAAUCGGGGCAGGGUGAGUCGACCCCUAAGGCGAGGCCGAAAGGCGUAGUCGAUGGGAAACAGGUUAAUAUUCCUGUACUUGGUGUUACUGCGAAGGGGGGACGGAGAAGGCUAUGUUGGCCGGGCGACGGUUGUCCCGGUUUAAGCGUGUAGGCUGGUUUUCCAGGCAAAUCCGGAAAAUCAAGGCUGAGGCGUGAUGACGAGGCACUACGGUGCUGAAGCAACAAAUGCCCUGCUUCCAGGAAAAGCCUCUAAGCAUCAGGUAACAUCAAAUCGUACCCCAAACCGACACAGGUGGUCAGGUAGAGAAUACCAAGGCGCUUGAGAGAACUCGGGUGAAGGAACUAGGCAAAAUGGUGCCGUAACUUCGGGAGAAGGCACGCUGAUAUGUAGGUGAAGACUGCUCGUGGAGCUGAAAUCAGUCGAAGAUACCAGCUGGCUGCAACUGUUUAUUAAAAACACAGCACUGUGCAAACACGAAAGUGGACGUAUACGGUGUGACGCCUGCCCGGUGCCGGAAGGUUAAUUGAUGGGGUUAGCGCAAGCGAAGCUCUUGAUCGAAGCCCCGGUAAACGGCGGCCGUAACUAUAACGGUCCUAAGGUAGCGAAAUUCCUUGUCGGGUAAGUUCCGACCUGCACGAAUGGCGUAAUGAUGGCCAGGCUGUCUCCACCCGAGACUCAGUGAAAUUGAACUCGCUGUGAAGAUGCAGUGUACCCGCGGCAAGACGGAAAGACCCCGUGAACCUUUACUAUAGCUUGACACUGAACAUUGAGCCUUGAUGUGUAGGAUAGGUGGGAGGCUUUGAAGUGUGGACGCCAGUCUGCAUGGAGCCGACCUUGAAAUACCACCCUUUAAUGUUUGAUGUUCUAACGUUGACCCGUAAUCCGGGUUGCGGACAGUGUCUGGUGGGUAGUUUGACUGGGGCGGUCUCCUCCUAAAGAGUAACGGAGGAGCACGAAGGUUGGCUAAUCCUGGUCGGACAUCAGGAGGUUAGUGCAAUGGCAUAAGCCAGCUUGACUGCGAGCGUGACGGCGCGAGCAGGUGCGAAAGCAGGUCAUAGUGAUCCGGUGGUUCUGAAUGGAAGGGCCAUCGCUCAACGGAUAAAAGGUACUCCGGGGAUAACAGGCUGAUACCGCCCAAGAGUUCAUAUCGACGGCGGUGUUUGGCACCUCGAUGUCGGCUCAUCACAUCCUGGGGCUGAAGUAGGUCCCAAGGGUAUGGCUGUUCGCCAUUUAAAGUGGUACGCGAGCUGGGUUUAGAACGUCGUGAGACAGUUCGGUCCCUAUCUGCCGUGGGCGCUGGAGAACUGAGGGGGGCUGCUCCUAGUACGAGAGGACCGGAGUGGACGCAUCACUGGUGUUCGGGUUGUCAUGCCAAUGGCACUGCCCGGUAGCUAAAUGCGGAAGAGAUAAGUGCUGAAAGCAUCUAAGCACGAAACUUGCCCCGAGAUGAGUUCUCCCUGACUCCUUGAGAGUCCUGAAGGAACGUUGAAGACGACGACGUUGAUAGGCCGGGUGUGUAAGCGCAGCGAUGCGUUGAGCUAACCGGUACUAAUGAACCGUGAGGCUUAACCU